UAAUUCCACGGAAGAUUUUUAGUUAAAAAAAACUCAUAACACUUAGUUUGUUGGGGGGGGGGGGCUAACCCAUACGGGGUAAAUUGUACGAUAUUCGGUUCGGUUAAUAUAAAUUAACAAAAUUAUAGACAUGGCAAGAUAUGAAAUGUGAAGUAAAAAAAAAGAAAACACAAAUUAGGGUCAAUAAUAAUCAAACGGGUGGAGGUAAACGAACGGUAGGUGAACUAAGUUGCAUUGAAGAAGCAGUGAUUAGUAUGAUAGGUGAUGUUCCUGUGAGCGGUGAUCCACAGAUAAGCGAGUCUGCGUUUAAACAAAAAUAUAACAUAUUCUUUAUAAUAUUAAAAUAUGUAUUAGUCAUCAAGAUCAAGCCACCGCAUUAGUGAUUGAAGUACCUGCGGAUGAAGAUAUUACUUGUGACACUAAUAACUUCAUUAAGUAUAAUAUUAAUAAUUUUUGGUAUUCAAACACAUACCCUACUAUACUCAUAAAAAUUGCAGAUAUACAGAUGAUGUAUGGUUGUGUUUGGAAAAGAACACUGAUGAUGAUAAUAAUGCACAAGUUGCAUCAACAAAUUCUAUGUUAGUCUUAUGUUUGUCUAUAACUUAAUGUAUACAAUACGCAUAUUAUUUUAACAAAAUUCUUUAACAUAAAUUCACCUAGAUUAACUUUAUAAAUUUACAUAUUUAUAUUAUUAGGACCAUAAUACCUGAUAGCCAACCAUCAACUUCAACCUCGCGUAUAAAUAACUCGACAGAUUUAGUCAUUAAUACACCGACUACCACUAAUAAAAGGAAAUUAGAAGCGUUAAUAAAAGAAAAGGAACAUUUUCCAAAAAAAAUUACGAAAAAAGAUCGUUUACAGCACACUUUUAGAGCUCAAGAAGAACUGUCAUUAGCUACUAAUGACAGAAAUAUUAUUUUUAAAGAUUUUUAUAAAAAAAAAAUUGAUUACUAUAAUGAAUUAUUGAAACUUAAAGAAAGAAGUGCAGCCGCAAAAGAAAGAAGUGCGGCAGCACAAGAAAGUAUUGCAGAAUCUUUAAAGUUAAUUUACAGCAAUAAACAUAACAAUAUAAUAUAAUAUAAUAACAUAAUAAUAAACAUACAUAAAAUUUUUAAUUUUUCUUCAAGUAUCUAUAACCUAGCUAUUACUUAAAUUACUAAAAAUAUCAGUCAU